GCCUGGGUGGCUCAGUCGGUUGAGCAUCCGACUUCAGCUCAGGUCACGAUCUCGCGGUCCGCGAGUUCGAGCCCCGCGUCGGGCU
rfam:Felis catus isolate Cinnamon breed Abyssinian chromosome E1, whole genome shotgun sequence.